rnacentral:rRNA from 1 species
GACGAACGCUGGCGGCGUGCUUAACACAUGCAAGUCGAACGGAGAAGCGCCGUCCUUUUUGGUCGGUGUGGAUGAGCGGCGAAGGGGUGAGUAAGACGUGAGCCACCUGCUCCCUCCUUCGGGACAACCGCAUGAAAGAGUGGCUAAUACGGGAUAUUCUGAGUCUGAUGCUUGAUGGGUCUGGGACAGAUAUUGUUUCGGUGGGGGAUGGGCUCGCGGCGUAUCAGCUAGUUGGUGGGGUGACGGCCUACCAAGGCGGUGACGGGUAGACGGCCUGAGAGGGUGGCCGGCAGAGCGGGUGCAGAGACACGGUGCAGACUACGACAGGCGGCAGCAGGGAGGAGUAUUACACGGGGGGAAGAAGGCUGAAGCAGCGACGCCGCGUGGGGGAGGGGGGGCGUCGGGUAGUACGCCCUUUUCGUUGGAGAAUCAGUCCGGCAGGGACUAUGCGUGGUUUGACGGUACCUAGAUAAGAAGCGCCGGCUAACUACGUG